rnacentral:rRNA from 1 species
ACGGCGAGUGAAGAGGGAUCAGCCCAAAUUUGUAAUCUGGCUCUUUCAGAGUCUGAGUUGUAAUUUUGAGAACUGUUUUCUGCUCUGGACCAUGUACAAGUCUGUUGAAAUGCAGCAUCAUUGAGGGUGAGAAUCCUGUUCAUGAUAUGGACUACCAGGGCUUUAUGAUACAGUCUCUAAGAGUCGAGUUGUUUGGGAAUGCAGCUCAAAGUGGGUGGUAAAUUCCAUCUAAGGCUAAAUAUUGGUGAGAGACCGAUAGCAAACAAGUACCGUGAGGGAAAGAUGAAAAGAACUUUGGAAAGAGAGUUAACAGUACGUGAAAUUGUUAAAAGGGAAACAGUUGAAGUUAGACUUGUUGUUGUUGGUUCAGCUCUUUAAGGGUGUUUUCUGAUGAUUAACAAACCAACAUCAAUCUCUGGGUGUUGGAUAAGGGUCAUUGAAAUGUAGCAGUUUUGGCUGUGUUAUAGUCUUUGACUUGGAUACAGUGCCUGGGAUUGAGGAUUGCAGUAAGC